CAUGGGGGUCACCGUGGACGUGCACCAGGUGUUCCAGUACCCCUUCGAGCAGGUGGUCGCUUGCUUCCUCCGAAAGGGAAUUAGAAUAAUGGAGAUGCUGCUGAAGGAACAGUGUGGUUCCCCCUUAGUGGAAUAAAAAAUCAUCAGGAAGCUGCCACUGUGUCUACUCUUCCUUGAGACUUACUUCUUGGCCACAACAUCAUAGGCACACUUACCGGAUGCUGGUUCCAGGACAGAGUCAGUGGCUUAGAGAAGAGGGGACCUUCCUGCUAGAGUACAGACUUGUCACUCCCCUUUGGGGCCUGCUUCAAAUCAUGGGACUCACAGAGAUGAGACUUUGCAGCUGGAGUUUUAUGACAUGGUCUCUUUACAAUCUCAUGAAUAAAGGGAAAAACCU
rnacentral:lncRNA from 1 species